rnacentral:lncRNA from 1 species
AGAAAUGCUAUAGGGACAAAUUCAAUACCAAAAAUACAACAAAUAUACUCUACUAUUCCUUUAUACCUAUAUUUCUAUUUUAUUUUUAUUUUUUAUACCAUAUUGUCACACAUGUUCCUUUAUUUUUCUCUUUCCAUUCCUCGCUGUUUUCUUCCUCUCACCGAGCCUCUGCGCCGAUCUCCCUCCACCACCAAUCAUCGCCGGCGACAUCUCCCUCCACCACUGAACAACCAUCACCGCCUCUUCUCUUGCAAUUUUGAAAAAUCAAAUGUCAAUUUCAGGUUUGUUUCUCCUUUUUUUAGGGUUUUAGAUUUAAUUUUUUUUCCUUUCAUGCAACUUUAAGAGUGAACUAGUAAUUAUUGUUUCUGUUUCUGGAUAUCAUGAUACUAGGCACUCAUUGUUAAGCUUAAACAUUUUACAGUUUCUGUUUNNNNNNNNNNNNNNNNNNNNNNNNNNNNNNNNNNNNNNNNNNNNNNNNNNNNNNNNNNNNNNNNNNNNUUUUUUUGUGUUAAAAUUGUGUAAAGUGACCCCAUGUUGUUAUUGGUUAUUUUUUAGUUUUUCUUCCAUUAAUUGAAAAAAAUUGUGUAAUGGAUUUGUAAUCCAAAGUAAAUUGAACUCUUUCUUUUUUCCUGACAAUGAAUCUGUUUUAAAAAUUGGUUGGGUAGAAGGCAAACUUGUGAGUUGAGUGGUGAUUUAAGAUGUGAUUUAAUUGUUUUUUGAGUGAACUGAUUUAUAUCUUACUCACUUGGCACCUCUUAUGGCUUGUUAGAGUUGUUGCUUUAUUUCCUUUACUUAUUACAAGUUACCUCUUGUAAUGUAACAUAGAUGCGAGACAAAAAUUUGGGCGAGUUGAACGCCAUUUUCAUUUGUCGAAGAACCUUUCUAUGUAUUUGAGUAAAAUGGUCAUAUUAGGCGUGCACCACCUGUCGUAAGAGUUGAGAAUAUGUUUGAGCAUGUUCAGAUUAGGUGCUUGUGUUUAAGAAUUUGUGGAAGAGCCCGGCACCGUCUAAGGUCAUCACUUUUUUGUGGCAGCUGAUUUUAGAUCGAAUUCAAACUAAGGACAAUUUACGUAAGCGGAGGAUGAUACAUGAUAAUAAUUUCAACUGUGUGCUUUGUACUGUGUGUGUUGAAUCGGCAUGUCAUGUUUUCUCCAUUGCAAGCGUGCAGCUGAGAUAUGGUAUGCGAUUACAAGGUGGUCAGGACUGUUUCUAAUUAUUCCGCAUAAUAUUGCAACAUCGUUUGCGUUAUUCUAUACUAGUGCAAGGAAUAAGAAGGAAAAGAAAGGUUUGUGCCUGAUUUGGCAUGCAUAUGUUUGGGCUAUUUGGACUGUGAGAAACGAUGGUGUUUUUAACGCGAAAGUGUGGAGCGGGUUAAGGUGCUGUCUUGGAAGUGGUUCAUAGGGAGAAUGGCGACGGGUCCGUGUUUACUAUAUGAAUGGAAGUGAAGUCCGUUGGAUUGUAUGCAGCGUUAAUCAGAAUCUGUGCAUGGGUUUUGGUGUUCCCUGUAGGUGCUUAUUGCUGCGUCCCCUUCAUCUUUUCUCUGCUUGAUGUUUGGCUGGUGUGUUGUGAUUGCUGCUAUGUGUUUUUUAGCCUCUUUGCUUGGCCUUUUUGUGUUUGCUGCUUUGUAAUUUGUAGUCGCUAUGUUUUUGGUUUUAUUUGCAUUUGUACCUUUCUAGCUUUUG